rnacentral:rRNA from 1 species
GAUGAACGCUGGCGGCGUGCCUAAUACAUGCAAGUCGAGCGAACAGACGAGGAUCUUGCUCCUCUGACGUUAGCGGCGGACGGGUGAGUAACACGUGGAUAACCUACCUAUAAGACUGGGAUAACUUCGGGAAACCGGCUCUAAUACCGGAUAAUAUAUUGAACCGCAUGGUUCAAUAGUGAAAGACGGUUUUGCUGUCACUUAUAGAUGGAUCCGCGCCGCAUUAGCUAGUUGUUAAGGUAACGGCUUACCAAGGCAACGAUGCGUAGCCGAACUGAGAGGGUGAUAGGCCACACUGGAACUGAGACACGGUCCAGACUCCUACGGGAGGCAGCAGUAGGGAAUGUUCCGCAAUGGGCGAAAGCCUGACGGAGCAACGCCGCGUGAGUGAUGAAGGUCUUCGGAUCGUAAAACUCUGUUAUUAGGGAAGAACAAAUGUGUAAGUAACUAUGCACGUCUUGACGGUACCUAAUCAGAAAGCCACGGCUAACUACGUG